CUUUGUUUGCAGCAGGGCAUCCAAGUAUUCUACCACCAUGCUGAGCAUCCUGGACCUCACAGCAGACUACAGUUGCCAGUCAACAAGAGAAGAUCAUUGAGGCAUGAAUGGGCUGCAAACAAGCAGCAUGAAUGGAGCAGAAAAAGGGGCUAAGGGCCAUAUUUGGUGCCUGAAACUACUAACUCUGUGAGCACUCCCAGGAAACCCAUCCAAGGAUUUAUUUGAGAAUCAGCGCCUCAUGAGACCCCUCUGGGAGCCUUCCUUCAGUUCUUCAUAGAUUGUAAGGCUCCAGCCAGCUGGAUUCCCGUCAUUCCUGAGAGGAAUUUAUGUGAGAAGAGAACUAGGGGAAGCAGGAAGAGACUCAGAGACCUACGGGGCAUACACUGUGCUGACAAAGUCAAUAUUUC